GUAGGGAAUAUUGCACAAUGGGCGAAAGCCUGAUGCAGCAACGCCGCGUGCACGAUGAAGGCCUUCGGGUCGUAAAGUGCUUUUCGGGGAGAUGAGGAAGGACAGUAUCCCCGGAAUAAGGAUCGGCUAACUACGUGCCAGCAGCCGCGGUAAAACGUAGGAUCCGAGCGUUAUCCGAAUUUACUGGGCGUAAAGCGCGUGCAGGCGGUUCGAUAAGUUGGAUGUGAAAUCUCCCGGCUCAACUGGGAGGGGUCGUUCAAUACUGUCGGGCUAGAGGAUGGUAGAGGGAGGUGGAAUUCCCGGUGUAGUGGUGAAAUGCGUAGAUAUCGGGAGGAACACCAGUGGCGAAGGCGGCCUCCUGGGCCAUUCCUGACGCUCAGACGCGAAAGCUAGGGUAGCGAACGGGAUUAGAAACCCUUGUAGUCC
rnacentral:rRNA from 1 species